GCGCGUAAAUUGCCCGAAUCCUGACACAGGGAGGUAGUGACAAGAAAUAACAAUACAGGGCUCUCUGAGUCUUGUAAUUGGAAUGAGUACAAUUUACAUCUCUUCACGAGGAUCAAUUGGAGGGCAAGUCUGGUGCCAGCAGCCGCGGUAAUUCCAGCUCCAAUAGCGUAUAUUAAAGUUGUUGCAGUUAAAACGCUCGUAGUCGGAUUUCGGGGCGGGGCCGCCGGUCUGCCGAUAGGUAUGCACUGGCGGGCGCGUCCUUUUUCCCGGAGACGGCUGCUACUCUUAACUGAGCGGUGGUCGGAGACGGGAUGUUUACUUUGAAAAAAUCAGAGUGUUUCAAGCAGGCAGUCGCUCUUGCAUGGAUUAGCAUGGGAUAAUGAAAUAGGACUCUGGUGCUAUUUUGUUGGUUUCGAGCACCGGAGUAAUGAUUAACAGGGACAGUCAGGGGCACUCGUAUUCC
rnacentral:rRNA from 1 species